ensembl:lncRNA
CACAAGUAAUCACAAUGCAGAAAAAAUUUUCCCUUUGCCCAUGCAAUAUUUUUCUAUGAAAAAGUCUUGUUUCUAAGAUGGAACUUCAGAAACAAUAGAAAUUUUGGCAGACUCUCUUAUUAAGUUAGCAGUUAGUGAGAAAAAAUGUACUGCUUUUGGUGGAUGUAAUACGAAUAUAAAUUUGGAGAAUGUUUGCUUAAAGGUGAAAACAGUGUUUAUUCAAAGUUGAAGCAAAACAUGAGCGAUUCUUUGGAAGGAGUUGGCUGUUCUGUCCAUAUUCGGAUAACGCUCCUGGAGCAUCAUUGGAUGUCCACCCUAUUGACAUUGAAAACAAAAUAAGCUGGAUAUGAAAAUAGUAGAAACUAUUGUACAGUGGAAAUGGAGCAUAAUUGUAACUGCAAGGAAUUUGAUAAGCAAGCUGUGCAAAACAAGGAACCGUUCCAUACAGCCACAUCAAUGGGGAAAUAGUUAAAGAAAGAAGUGAGUUGGGGGUCUGGCCCCACAGCCAAAAGUGGUUAAAGUUCCACGCACUCCACUUCGGUGGCCCAGGUUCAUGGGUUCGGAUCCACUCAUCAGCAGUGCUGUGGAGGCAUAUGAAGUAGAGGAAGACUGAAGAUUGGCACAGAUGUUAGCUCGGGGCAAAUCUUCCUCACACACACAAAAAGUUUCCAUGAAAGUUUCUUCAUUUUAAAAGAAGAUAAAUGAUACAGCAUGAAGGUAGCUGUCUGCAAACCAGGAAGAAAGCCUUCACCAGAUGCCAAAUCUGCUGGCACCUUGAUCUUGGACUUACCCGCCUCCAGAGCCGUGAGGAAUAAAUGUCUGUCGUUUAAGCUGCCCAGUCCAUGAUAUUUCUUAUAGCGGCCCAAGUUAACUAAGACGCCAUAAUUAACAUAUUUUUACAAGAUGGACUAAUUCUAAUCACGUGCACGUAAUCUUUCUAGUUUAUGAAAUUUCUGUUACAGUUCUUUCUUCUGAUUAAUUUAAGAUUUGGAGAUAUCUGUGAGUUUUGUAUUUUUGUCAUUGUUGUUAACCCAUCUCAGUGUAAAGAAAGUUUGGGUUUUUAUUAUGUUCAAAUUCUAUAGAUUACUUAAUAUUUAACUUUCUAACAUUUAAUCUUAAGAUUAGAAUUAUAAAACUUCAAGAAUAUUUACAAUGAGAAACAUAUCGUUCAGCCCAAGCAAUAUCGACAAAUACCCCCACUGAGGAGCAGUUUCUCUAUUAAAUAUGAGAUGGAAAACUUCGUACUAUAUUCUAAUGAAUAACUUUAUGAAUAGAAAUAAUAAUCAUGAACUAUAUUUUAUUGCCAUUUAUCAAGGGCACAUUUCAUUUUGGAUUGGCUUUGAUGUAAACCAGGCAGUGGUUUUCUAACACCAGAUUAUAUGUAAAUGGUUGGUUGCAGUUUUGUAAAAGUGAGAAGAAAAAAAAAAGGAAGGAAGCAUGUAUAUCUCCUCCGCUUUCUCCUGUAAAAGUUACAAUAUGGUUAAAACCCACAGAAACAAAGAAAACAGGAGAGGAGAUGAUAGCAAGGUGAUAGCAACAAAAGGUUGAAAUGUGGAAGGUGUACAGAGGAGGGCUAACCACCCCAGCACAUCAGAGGAAAGCCAAUCCAAAGCCAGCAGCUGGAAUAGCACUGCAGACGCUGGUAAGAUGCCAGGGCUGCAGGCACCUGGUGCCUCUAAAAAGUCUGCAUGCAGAUGGAGCGGAAAAUGGGGAGUUUGCAGGAAAUCUUCGUAAGAAGAAUUCCCAACUCGGUUACCUGAUCCAGUGCACUUAGGAUGGCCAGACUUUUGUGGAAUGUCUUGGACUGAACAUCAGGGAAGGAUUUAGCCAUAGACUAUUUCUGAAGAAUAGUAUCAAGUAAAUCCUGCUCAAAAGCCAACUAUUGCAUCAUAGGUACAUUCCGUCUCUAUUUAAGUCCUUGUCUACUGUCUACACAGCCAGACAACUCCUUCCCUAACACACUAUCGGAAGAGUGGAAGCACACUCUGGGGGAGUAGGGGGCUAAGCCAGGCGGUCUCUUGAUUCAGGGUCAAUAGGCAGAGAUGAGUGUGGGGCAUCAAGAUGAAUACAGGAAGUUUAAGAGAAAAUUGGCAUAGUGACUGGUAAGACCCUUCCAGCCACCCCCCACACCAUGCUUGAAACAGCAGUAUUUAGACUUAUAUUCCCUUGAAAUUUUCUUAAGAGAAAAGGCUUACAGAACUCAAAAUUUAAAAAUAUCCAACAAAACAGCUGGGAACAUUUCUGUGGUAGAGUAUAAAAAACUAUAAAAAAAAUUAUUUAAUGAAAAUAGCAACUUAGUCUUCUCCUCCCUGCAUCUUGCAGUGUGACAUUGCAGAGCUUCUCAUCAAGAAGCGGGGACAAUUUCCCCACCCAUUGAAUGUGUGGUAGCUAUGUGGUUUGAUUUGGCCAAAGGAACAUUAGCAAACAUGAUACAAAACAGAUGCUUAAAAACCAUUCGCGCACUGGAGUUUGCUCUCUUGGUGCACUUGGAAUCCUGAGACAACCAUAUGAACAAGCUCAUUCUAGCCUGCUGGAAGGUGAGAGGAAGACAACAAAGAUGCCCCAGCCAACGGCCUAUCAACCGCCACACAAGAGAUCAUAGAUCAUCCAGCUACCAGUCAACAUGGCAGUUGAUCAAAAAAGCAUGAGCUAACCCAGAGAGAUCAGCUGGGCCAGCUCAGACUCCACCUGAACCACAGAAUCAUGAGCUAAAUAAGUGAUUUAUUAUUUUAAGCUACUCAUUUUGAAGAUGAAUUAUUUCACAGCAAAAACUAACCGGUACACUGGCUGACCAAUCUCUUGUAAUACUCAGCAUGGAAUAAGACCCAUUUUUGGACGUGGAACUUCCUAUCAGCUUUGCGGGACCUAAUUUUGACCAAGGGAAAAAAAAGUCAAGUACAGUCUUAACUCACAGAUGAGAAAAACACUUAUUUAAAAAAUUUGUUUUAUCUGUGUCUUAGUUUUCUAAGAACUAGGAUAUAACAAAACUAGCAAAGACAAAAGAAUAAAACAUUAUAAAAACUUAUUUAAUGGCCUUGGAGAGAUGAGAGAUGAUAUUUCACUAUGUAACAUGAAGAGAAAGUUAUAAAAGCAGAACCUUUAAGAAUAAAAACGUGCUAUUGGAAUUUUUAAAAAUGAUAGCAGAAAUGGAAAACCGAAUAGAACAUUGGAAGAUAUAAUUGAGAAAACCUGCUAGAAUAAAAAACAGUAAGACAAAGUGAAAAGCAAAUGGAAGGGAAAGGAGAAAAAAAUUUGAGAAUCAGUUUAAGAAGCUGAGCAUGAAUAAUAGACAUUUAAGAGAGAGAGAGUAGAAAAAUAGAGAAGAAAUUAUCAAAGAAAUCAUUCAAGAUUUUUUUCAGAAGUUAAGAACACUAAUAUUCCAGAUUAGUGCACUAUAGUUUUAAAAAGACUGAGGUAGGGCAUAUAACUUUGAAAGCUUACGACUCUAGAAACAAAGAUCCUAAAAGCAUACAGAGAGGAGAGGAAAGGAAAAAAAAUGUUCAUAAGUAAAAUUUCUGGAGUAAGAAUGUUAUUGGACUGCUGAAUGAGUAACUUUUUAGAUUACUGGAGAUUAAAAAGCUAAAGAUCGUUGAAAGUUAAAAAGCACUGAAAGCUAAACACCUUAAAAAUGUGGAAGGGAAAUAAUUCUCAACUAGACUGAUAUACCUAGUGAGCCUAUAUCAAAUGUGACAAUGACCUAAUGACAUUUGCAGGCAUCAAGAUUUUAAAGUUUUUACUGCCCAUGCAGCUUUUCCCAGGAAGUUAUCAGAGAUGUUUCCUCAAAAGAGGAGAUAAAACAGGAAGGGAGGAAAACAUGGAUUCCAGGAAACAACGAAUCUAACACAGGAUGAUGGAGACCGUCAGCAGGCAUCCUGAGCAAGCUGACACACUUGGGGUGAGAAGGGGGAGGACUCCAUAGCGAUGUCGCAAAGAAGAUGAAAUUGAUACAACAUUGGAUGCAUUGGGAACAUGUGGAGGAGGAUGGGAGAGAACUUUCAUGCUGGGUUCCGUAUACUCAUUUAUUAUGAGGUUGAAUCCAUGUAGCACCUGUAGUGAAAACGUUUUAGUAUAGAAGAAUUGUGCUGUACAUGCAGUAAAUGCAAACUUCCUAUAAAUUAGUCUCCAAAAAAAUGAGACUUUGCUUUUAACAUGAACUGUAAAUUAUAUUUUUACAGAGCCAAUAAGGCUACUGAUUUUAAGAUGUUUCAAAUUCAAACCAAAGUUUCAAGAGUGGGGGUAUCCUGUAGGCUGCAUAUAUUUAAAUGUGGUCAGUUACAUGCAUUGAUUCCUCCACGAACCAUGGAGUUAAUGAAUACCUUAUGAUGAAUUAUUCAUACCACUAUAACCAUGAGCGUCUUCCCCAGGAGAAAAUCAUUCUAUAAAGACACUAAGGGGAUGGUUGUCUGCCAAAAGCCAAGAUUUGGGGACAGCCUUUCAGAAGCGGUGCUGUCCCAAGGACAGCCAGCAUCCUGCUUGGUACCCACAACGCCCGGCAGCAUAGUGCAUUUCCCAUGAAGUCCCCUGAUUCUAAACUAGAACAAAGGAUACUGCUGUCAGAACAAUUGUCUUAUACAUUUAGAUGUAAGAAUUUAUUGAUUUCCUCUGUCCCGUUACUGGGCACCACCUCCACAAUUCACUCUGGAAUUGAUUCAUGUGUUCUAAGUACAGUAUGAG